UACACCAAUCAAAAGCAUUUCUCUGCUCAUACGCUUAAGCUAGCUAGUUAGCCUUUCUAGCAUCUGUGUUACACAAUCGUGUCUUGAGGUCAAACCUGAAUCAGCUUAUCGAGAAGGAACUAGCAAACUAGCUAGUUUCUUCAACAGCCAUGGGUGUGCAAGUCAAAGUCGAAUACUGCGGUGGAUGAGGGUACGAGCCCCGCUAUCAGGAGCUCGCGCGGGUUGUCACCGCGGAAUUCACUGAAGCGGAAGUGUCGGGCUUCGUAGGAAGGCAAGGCAGUUUUGAGAUUGAGAUCAAUGGGCAAGUAGUUUUCUCCAAGCUCGAAACAAGUGGCUUCCCAUAUGAAGACGACAUCAUGGACGCUAUACAGAAAGCCCAUGAUGGCAAGCCAGUGGAGAAGAUCACCAAGAGCCGCCCGCCUUGUGUCAUCCUGUAGAUCUCCUCUCCCUCUAUUCUCCAACCCUGCCCUCUCCUGACAGCAGCAUGCUGAAGACAGGACAGUGCGCAUCCAUCACUGCCACUGUCAUUACUCACUCAGCCUUUGCACUAACCGGGCAUGAGGGUGACACACAACUCUACGUUGAAACUACACUAGCAGAGUUGGACUAAGACCACUGUCUUUGAUUUAGAGUACAACCUGUCAUAAGGUUUUGUUGUGCCUUCUCUCUCCCCUCUCUCUCUGCUCCCAUUGAGGUGUUCCAGGACUUAUAUGAUUACUGUAGACCAAAGCUGAAAGGUUUAUAGUAUGAUGACCCCAGUCCUGGCAGCUCCUAUGUUAUGGGAUCAGAGAAAUGGAGGAGACCGUAAGAUCGAGGGGCAGACGGGUUGGGGGGAGCACCCUAUUAUAUUCCAAAAGCCUCAUUGCCUAGCAGACAGUUACUGCCUGAUUUGUUCUAAUUCCUCUCAAAUACAGCACCAUCAUUGGCCAGACAUAAACAAAGUUUUGAUGAAUGUAAAAGAUAAAUGUUAUCGAGUACCAAAAGCAAGAAGGGAAGGAGCUCAAUUAUUUUCAGCCCUCUGUGAAAAUAAUUCUAUCACCAAGCAUCAUAAGCCCUGUUUCACAACUUGUAUCCUGUACCCUACUAUGAUGAUGAACGUGCUGUUUGAACCUGUCAAUGCAAUGUUUGUCAAUUUAUUUAAUAAGAUGUGUUCUAAAGUGGAGACACUUUAAACAAGGUUGAAGCUUAGACCUUUAACGUUGUUUUUGUGUUCAGUUCUGUCACUGCAACUUUUAUUUAUCUUUAAACUAGUGUAUCUCAAUGUCGGAACUUGGAUGUAAUCAGGGUUUUUUUCUUCAGUUUUGGCUAUCUUAUAGCCUGGAGCAUUCCAGGCAGUGUCUUUAACAGUGAACUAUAUCUCUGUUUUGAACUGUUCUCUUUAGCUGAAAUGUGAGGAACACCGUAGUAGCCAAACCUCUUGUAAAUUUGCAAUUGUAUACUGCCACUGAAUCAUAGAUGAUGCAUUUUCAUUGACUCUGUGGUUUUUAUAUAUGAUCAGCUUUACUAUUAGUAGAGCUGACGUUGCAAGUAGAUAAAUCCUCAGAUGUUUUGAAAGCCAUCUCUCACUGCUCUGUCUAUAACUGACGACACCUCAUCAGCCACUGUUUAUGCGCACAGUUUAUUGAAUAUCAUCUCUGAAUACAAUUUGUUUUCUGUUGCCCAGGGCUGUCAAGUAUGAUAUCCAUUUGGGAGAACUUCUAUCACAAAAUAAAGUUAUGGAUUAUUUAACUGUA